rnacentral:tRNA from 1 species
GCCGUCGUAGCUCAGUCGGUAGAGCGUGUGACUGUUAAUCACAAGGUCAACGGUUCGAUCCCGUUCGACGGCGCCA